GCCUGGAUGGCUCAGUCGGUUCAGCAUUCGACUUUGGCUCGGGUCACGAUCUCAUGGAUUGUGGGUUCGAGCCCCACGUUGGGCU
rnacentral:tRNA from 1 species